GGAAUAUAAUAACCCGUCUCUUAAUUUUUAACUAAAAAAACUAAGAACCGGUUCUUAAAUAAGAGUUUUAAGAGCCGGUUCUUAACUUUUUUAGUUAAAAGUUAAGAGACGGGUUCUUAUAUUCC
rnacentral:pre_miRNA from 1 species